rnacentral:rRNA from 1 species
AUUGAACGCUGGCGGCAGGCCUAACACAUGCAAGUCGAACGAGUGGCGGACGGGUGAGUAAUGUCUGGGAAACUGCCUGAUGGAGGGGGAUAACUACUGGAAACGGUAGCUAAUACCGCAUACCAUCAGAUGUGCCCAGAUGGGAUUAGCUUGUUGGUGGGGUAACGGCUCACCAAGGCGACGCUCCCUAGCUGGUCUGAGAGGAUGACCAGGCACACUGGGACUGAGAACAGGGUCAGGCUCCUACGGGAGGGAGGAGUGGGGAAUAUUGGAAAAUUGGCGGAAGCCUGAUGGAGCCAAGCCGCGGGUAAUGAGAAGGGCCUUGGGGUGUAAAGUACUUUCAGCGGGGAGGCGUUACCCGCAGAAGAAGCACCGGCUAACUCCGUGCCAGCAGCCGCGGUAAUAC